rnacentral:rRNA from 1 species
AUUGAACGCUGGCGGUAGGCCUAACACAUGCAAGUCGAACGAGUGGCGGACGGGUGAGGAAUACAUCGGAAUCUACUCGGUCGUGGGGGAUAACGUAGGGAAACUUAAGCUAAUAACGCAUACGAUUGAAUGAGCCGAUGUCGGAUUAGCUCGUUUGUGGGGUAAAGGCCCAACACGGCGACGAUCCGUAUCGGGUCUGAUAGGAUGAUGAGCCACACUGGUACUGAGACACGGUCCAGACUCCUACGGGAGGCAGCAGUGGGGAAUAUUGGACAAUGGGCGCAAGCCUGAGCCAGCCAUACCGCGUGGGUGAAGAAGGCCUUCGGGUUGUAAAGCCCUUUUGUUGGGAAAGCGGUACCCAAAGAAUAAGCACCGGCUAACUUCGUGCCAGCAGCCGCGGUAAUAC